GAGCGCCGUAGCAAUACGGAGCGGCAGACGGGAGAGUAACACGUGGGAACGUGCCCUUUGGUUCGGAACAACACAGGGAAACUUGUGCUAAUACCGGAUAAGCCCUUACGGGGAAAGAUUUAUCGCCAAAGGAUCGGCCCGCGUCUGAUUAGCUAGUUGGUGGGGUAACGGCCCACCAAGGCGACGAUCAGUAGCUGGUCUGAGAGGAUGAUCAGCCACACUGGGACUGAGACACGGCCCAGACUCCUACGGGAGGCAGCAGUGGGGAAUAUUGGACAAUGGGCGCAAGCCUGAUCCAGCAAUGCCGCGUGAGUGAUGAAGGCCUUCGGGUUGUAAAGCUCUUUCGCCCGCGACGAUGAUGACGGUAGCGGGAGAAGAAGCCCCGGCUAACUCUGUG
rnacentral:rRNA from 1 species